UCUGGUUGAUCCUGCCAGUAGUCAUAUGCUUGUCUCAAAGACUAAGCCAUGCAUGUCUAAGUAUAAGUGUUAUACAGCGAAACUGCGAAUGGCUCAUUAAAACAGUUAUAGUUUAUUUGACAAUCGAAUUUACAUGGAUAACCGUGGUAAUUCUAGAGCUAAUACAUGCUGGUGUGCCCGACUUUUCGGAAGGGCGGUAUUUAUUAGAUAACAAGCCAAUAUUCCUCUGGUCUAUUGUGGUGACUCAUAAUAACUGAUCGAAUCGCAAGGCCUUUGGCCGCGAUAAGUCAUUCAAGUUUCUGCCCCAUCAGCUUUCGAUGGUAGUGUAUUGGACUACCAUGGCGUUUACGGGUAACGGAGGAUUAGGGUUCGAUUCCGGAGAGGGAGCCUGAGAAACGGCUACCACAUCUAAGGAAGGCAGCAGGCGCGUAAAUUACCCAAUCCUGAUUCAGGGAGGUAGUGACAAGAAAUAACGGACCGAGGCCUUCGGGCUUCGGGAUUGCAAUGAGCCGAAUUUACACCCCUUAGCGAGGAUCGAUUGGAGGGCAAGUCUGGUGCCAGCAGCCGCGGUAAUUCCAGCUCCAAUAGCGUAUAUUAAUGUUGUUGCAGUUAAAAAGCUCGUAGUUGAAUUUCUGGUUAAAAUGAUAGCUGGCUUUUGUCGUUAUCAUUUUAAUCAUCCGUUAGAGAACUGUAGCCGUCCUUCACUGGUCACUGCAGAGAUCUAACAUUUUACUUUGAAAAAAUUAGAGUGUUCAAGGCAGGCAAUCGUCAUGAAUACUAUAGCAUGGAAUAAUGGAAUAGGACUUAGAUUCAUUUUAUUGGUUAUUGAAUCUUAGUAAUGAUUAACAGGGACAGUUGGGGGCAUUAGUAUUUAAUUGUCAGAGGUGAAAUUCUUGGAUUUAUUAAAGACUAACUUAUGCGAAAGCAUUUGCCAAGGAUGUUUUCAUUAAUCAAGAACGAAAGUUAGGG
rnacentral:rRNA from 1 species